rnacentral:tRNA from 1 species
AAAAUUUUAGUUUAAGUAAAAUAUUUCUUUUACAAUGAAAAGAUUGAAUUUUAUUCAAAAUUUUA